rnacentral:misc_RNA from 1 species
UUCGAGCGUCAUUACAACCCUCAAGCUCUGCUUGGUAUUAGGCUUCACCCCUAGGGGCGGGCUUUAAAAUCAGUGGCGGUGCCAUUCGGCUUCAAGCGUAGUAAUUUUCUCGCUUUGGAGGACCGGGUGUGUGUUUGCCAAUAACCCCAAUUUAUAUAAAGGUUGACCUCGGAUCAGGUAGGGAUACCCGCUGAACUUAA